CCUACGGGUGGCAGCAGUGAGGAAUAGUGGUCAAUGGGCGCGAGCCUGAACCAGCCAAGUAGCGUGAAGGAUGACUGCCCUACGGGUUGUAAACUUCUUUUAUAAAGGAAUAAAGUGAGGCACGUGUGCCUUGUUGUAUGUACGGUAUGAAUAAGGAUCGGCUAACUCCGUGCCAGCAGCCGCGGUAAUACGGAGGAGCCGAGCGUUAUCCGGAUUUAUUGGGUUUAAAGGGAGCGUAGCUGGGUUGUUAAGUCAGUUGUGAAAGUUUGCGGCUCAACCGUAAAAUUGCAAUUGAUACUGGCAGUCUUUAUUCCAGUUGCGGUAGGCGUACUUCGUUGUGUAGCGGUGCCAUGCUUCGCUCUCACG
rnacentral:rRNA from 1 species